UCACCUGGGUGACUCAGUAUUUUAGUUCCCUCUCAACUCCGUUCAUGUAUCCCAUAAAUAUUUUUUAAAUGAUUUUAAGUCCCCAUUCUCAUAGGUCUUAUGUUGAGUGUAGGUCGCUGGUGUAUUCCAGACAGGAUAGAGUGGCAGCUUUGCCCAGGUAGGCGACAAGAGGGAGGUCACAAUGUGUACAUUGUGAUGACAUCUAUGGAGUAACUGGUGGCAUGGAGAACCCCACUGAGAGCUAAGCCUUCCUCCUGUGGGGAGGAUACGGGACCCGCCAUAAGUUAUCUCUCUGUCCCUGCAUCUGCCAUCCUAGGGCCAGCCAGAGUCCUCUUUGGAGGACAUGAACUCAGCAAGUGGUUUUGGCAAAAUGUGGAAAAAGGUGUUCAAGGGGAUUCCCAGACUCUCAGUGAGCCAUUUCCAUUUCUACUGUGGGACUUGUACUUUGGUGGGGAACUCCAAGAUCCUGCGGGCCUCCGGCCUUGGCAACAAUAUCAACCAGUGGACCCUAGCCUUCGGAAUGAACCAGGGCCCUGUCCAGAGCAUUGAAAAGGUGGGGAACCAAACCAUAGGAUGCUUCAUCUAUCCUGGGAAUGCCAGCAGCCAGGGCUCUUGGAGACAGCUGCUGCUUCUGCUGCUGCUGCUGCUGCAGCUUUCUGGUCUGGUGUGGACUUCAGAUGCUCCAAGUGAGGAGGAUGCCUACUUUGGAUUUGGAUCAGAAAAGCAAAGAAAGGGGUGUGAUGACUGUUAAUCAGACCAAUGAUUACAAGGAGAUUUUGUCCAUACAGAGCAUGGAAGCAGAAAUGGAAGUCAGCUACAGUGUGUUGGGCAAGCUCACUGUCCACACGUGACACCCUGCAGAGUUCAUGCAAGUCCUAGUCCUUUGGACCUCAACAAAGCAGCAGUUUGUUUCUGUUUCUGAGACCAAGAAUUCCAACUAACACACAUCACACUUCUGCCAACAGCACUGGAGUCUGGAAGAUGAUGGAAUAUGCCAUCAGGCUCUGGAGCUACUUUUGCAACCUAGGAUCUUUUACACCCAGCCAAACUAUCAAUCAAGCCUAAGGACAUUGUGGUCUCCAUGGCUCCCAUAACAAAUUAGCACAAAAUAGGAUGAACCAGGCCCCUGUCCAAGGCUUUGAGAUGGAUGUGGGGAACAAAACCACCAUGCACAUUAUGUACACUGAGAUGGCUAGCACACAGGAUCCUGGCACCCCACUGCUGCUGCUUCCUCUGAAUUCAUCUGGUCUAAAGUGGUUUAUGGAAGUGCUGCGGGAAUAGAGCUUCAGAAGCCCAGGGUAUGGCAGUGAGUGGAGCCAUUGCAGAGGGUGACAGUGGGGACUCCAGAGGGACCCUUGCUGAAUUUUGGGGCACCCUCAAGGCUUACCUAAGCUUGGGGGCUUCUGUGUCAAAUGACUCUAAAAUUCCCACAUCCCAAUCCCUUUUUAGAUUUCAGAUCGUCCAGGUCCCUAGUAGAAGUAACAAGAGCAAAGACAAGGUCUUGGUGAUCAGCCUCAACUUUCUCCAGUAUGUCCAGCAUUGUUGGCUGGGGAAACACAGUUGGUUUCCAUCCUUGGGGUUCGUGGGUUUGUUGUAUGCCCUGCACACAUGUGACCAGGCACUGAUGCUAGGAGACCUAACCCCAUUCCAGCUGGCCAAGGAGGAACUUUUCAGCUGAUCCCCACAGCAAAGCCCUGAGACCCACCCAUGCCAGUCCUGUGCUAUGCAACGUGGAACUCGGGGAAUCUGAAGUCUUCACAAUAUGGAGUAUCCACUGAGGAGCACCACCUGUGCUUAGUGGGGGCAAGAGGGUGAGGGUGGUGAGCAGUGCCAGCCUGUGAGCCCCAAAGCCUUCCUGACUUCCUUUCCUAUCUCUGCAGAAUGAACCAGGCCCCAGUUUUAGGUCCAGAGAACAACAAAGGCAACAAACAGAAUCUACCUGCACAUAAUGCACCUGAGAAUGCCCAUGACCUGGAGAGAAUAUCCACACACUGCUGGUGUUGUCACAGCCACCAGAUAUAGGGUGGACUGUAGUGGUCUUGAGCCAAGGUGGAAAAGGGCAUCUUUUACCAGGUGGUGUGAGGGUGGAGGCCCCAGGCCUGGAGCAGACAGCCCUGGCUUUUUGGUGUAAAUGUUGAUCUUGUCGUCACUCUGCAGUGUGUGACUGUAUACUCCCCACCUCCCUAACCUACAACCAGUAUUUCCUUCUCUACUUCAUGCUUUUCUGCCUUCACGCUUCUACUAGUCCCGUGUAGGGAAGCAUAUGAGUCAAGGUAAUUAAAUUGUGCUCUGGUGAUCGUUGCUGUAACAUGCAAA